GACAUUACAAUUCCGUUGCAGCCGAGGAAGUCACGAAACGCUCAAUAAGAGUACAAACUUGGCGUAAAUUCCAAGAGCAGAAACUAUACACGGGCAGUUUUGUCUUCAAUCGCAUUCCGAAUUUCGUCGGAGUCGAAAAAGCAGUUGAAUUGCUCUCAGAAACGCCGGAAUAUAAAAAUGCGAAAAACAUAAAGGAAGCCGUUGAUCGAUCUCAAGAUGCGGUCAAAUUGAACGCGCUGUCCUCUUCAAAAAAUCUUUUCAUCUCAUGUGGCAGAGAUUCGAAAGCACUUUAUGCAAAAGUGAAUUGUCCGGAAACUGAAGAUGUGGCGACACAGAAGAAGGCGAUCUGAGUGCUUAAUUUGGCUGAAUAUGGAACAGAGAUCGAGUUUCAAAAUAAGGUGGAAUUGGAUAUGGCUGUCUACGGAUCAGUUGCAGUGUCGAAAUUGGGUGAACGAAUCGGAAGAGGAAAUGGCUAUGUUGAUUUGGAUUUCGCUACCCUGAAGCACUGUGGUUCCAUCACCGA